rnacentral:rRNA from 1 species
AUUGAACGCUGGCGGCAGGCCUAACACAUGCAAGUCGAGCGGAGCGGCGGACGGGUGAGUAAUGCCUAGGAAUCUGCCUGGUAGUGGGGGAUAACGUCCGGAAACGGGCGCUAAUACCGCAUACUAUCAGAUGAGCCUAGGUCGGAUUAGCUAGUUGGUGGGGUAAAGGCCUACCAAGGCGAAGAUCCGUAACUGGUCUGAGAGGUUGACCAGUCAAACUGGAACUGAGACACGGUCCAACCGCAUACGGGAGGCAGCAGUGGGGAAUAUGGGACAAUGGGCGAAAGCCUGGACCAGACAUGCCGCGUGUGUGAAGAAGGUCUUCGGAUUGUAAAGCACUUUAAGUUGGGAGGCGUUACCAACAGAAUAAGCACCGGCUAACUGCGUGCCAGCCGCCGCGGUAAUAC